UUCACACAUUUAUUUAUGUAUUUUUUUAUUCAUAUAUACUUUCAUUUAUCUGAGUUUACUUCAAACGAGUUAAGUAAUGUCAGGACAGAGGGCACAAGGAUGAAGAUAGAGAAGCCACUUAAGGAAAGUGUUGUUAACCACUGCUCGAGACUAUAAAGGUGCUCUGACGUGUACAGCUGUUCCAGGUCUCCUCCUCGCGCAGAGCAGUCACAGCGGCGCGAGGCUCAUCGGCAGCGAACCUUCCGUCUGACUCCAUGAACUCUGGAUGAAUGUAUAAUUAUAAAAUAGGACUUUUUAACUUUAUUAUUGAUGCUUGCUGCGCUGUAAAGUGUUAGACUAUCUGGAGAGCAGCAGACGAAGCUUUGUUCUUUUGUUUUGUUUGUAUGUGUUAUUUUCUACAGUCGAUAACUGCGAGUUAAAGAGCGUCUGCAACCACACAGGUGUGUGUGAGAGAAGAAAUACGGCCAUGUACCGUUCAGCUUCAUGGCCUUCUUCUUCCUCUGAGACUCGGCUUCAUCACCAGCUCCCCAGAGGCCACACGUACCUAGAUACCCUGAGACAUGUCAGCUUUGGAACAGUAGUGAUGUGUAAGAGACGAGACGCUGGACAGAUUGUGGACGUAAAGACCAGCGAUCACCACCAGGAUCUUCAUCAGGAGCUGUGUCUGGAGCAGGACAACGUGACGGAGGCUGAUGAGAGGAGGGAGUGCAUGGAGCUGUUGAAGGAGACUGGUCGCGUGGGAUGAGAGGGAGCGGAUCACUCCCGCUGAUGUCCUCAACCAUCCUUUCAUUACCAAGAGCUACAUACACAGCACCUCCCGCCUCAGCUCCUGUCCUCAGCCUGCUGCAGCUCUGGACGCCACCAGCAUCCACAUGGACAACACGGAGCUCCCUCCCAACACCUCUGAUGACGAAGAAGAAGAAGAAGAAGAAGAAGAAGAAGAAGAAGUUCCUAUUAUUAUUAUAAUAACAAUAUUAAUAAUAAUAAUAAUUAUUAUUAAUAUUCUUCUACAAGAAUUCCUGUAGACGCUUCUUCUCCUGGAUGACGAGGAUCUUCUGCUGCUACAUGGACGACGUGCAGGAGUGAAGAUUUCUAUUGUUUGUCGCUAAAGAACCUGAGAACUUGCUCACAGGUGUUCUGCUAGAAAACAUUCAUAGUGCAGAAGAUUCAAACCAUUCAAGCAGAGCUCUGCUCUUAUGUUUGUGUUUUGUGUUUCAUGUUAUUGUUAGUAUUGAACGUGAACGUGAAUGAACUUUUGUCUCAGCAACUCUUGUGAGAUCUGACAACACAGAGCGUUAAUGUUUGUCAGACUGUGUCCAAACAUCUUCUAAGGUAAAAAGUCUUUGUGAUGCUCAACAUGUUAGUUCCCUGUGUGACUCUCUAACGUUAGCUCAACAUAAAUACAUUAGAGCAGGCCUACUGAGGAGACAGGUGGUGUUUACCAUUUGAACAGCAUCGCUGCUGCUCGUGAUCGUCUUUAGUUAUAGAACAUGUUACAGCUUCACUGUGUUGCUGCAGUGCUCAGUGGAGCAUACAUCUCUCUUUCAAACGUGUGAAGAUUACAAGCAGUCAGUUUCACUCUUAUGUGCAUUUUAUAAAUACAUUUAGCUUUGUAAGCUAGUAGCAGCUAAAGUUUGUAGCCGUCCCUCAAUGUUGUUGUUUAUCCUUCUGGCUCGCUAGUUAUUUACAUUCAUGUGACAAAGUUUGUUCUCAGCUGUUAUAUUGAUCUCUGUCUUCUUUCCCUUCAAUAAUGUCAACAAGUCCUUUAAACGUGUGUCUUGUAAAAUGAAACGCUAUUUGUUCUCAUGCUUAUGACUCACAUGCCAUCAUUUAACUUUAAGAUAUGAAGACAUGUUAGACUCUGCUACAAUACAUUAUAACUAUGAGAGUCUUUAUGCUAAGCUAAGCGGGCUAAAUAUUUAGCAUACAGACGAUCUAUCUUCUUAUUUUACUCUCAGCAACAAAGUGAAGAAACAUAUUCCCCAAAGUGUCAAACUCUUCCUUUAAACAACAAACUGCACACAUCAGGUUGUGUUUAGAUGUGUCCUGUUGCUUAGUAACAUCAUCACUCUUUGUCUUCUACAAGCUUUUCUCAGCACGUCAUCAGUGGCGUAGCCAGGCCUAUUUUAGCUAAGGUCUGUUCACUAUGGAAAACAAUUGUAAGCAGGAAAGGGUGAAUAGCUGUUCUAACUAUCAUAAUCUGCCAAUGUUCAUUGAACAGAUGGAUAUAAGAAGAGUCCUAAGGAAAGGUGCAGCUCUGCCACAGGGAAGCAGCAGCAAAGAACAAGUGAUGGUGGAGCCAACAGUGUGAUGGAGGUUAGUUCACGUUGAGGAGUAAAUGAGCAAUUUUUGAAGGCGAGAUGAUUACAAAACUAUGAGCAUAGAGAGAAAUGUAAAUAUUGAGCAACACUGUCCCAAGUUCAUUGAAAUAAUACUUUACAAUAAAACACCAAUAACAGAAAUGUCAAUAAAAGGGAAAACAAAAAAAUAGAAAAGCACUUUUUAAAGUGUAUCCGUUUUCAAAAGGUAUUAGCGUUUUUAUUAUUGUAUUUUCCUCAGUGUUUCCAUUGUUCUGUAUGUAUGUGUAAUGAAUAGGAGGGAAUGGUUUACAUUUGUCUUUAAUAUAUUGAUCUAUUUCUCAUGUCAUUUCUAGCUUUUUUUUAUCUACUUGUAUUUUGAGGUUGGAUGAAGGAAAGGGGUAAAAAUGUGACUGGUUUAAUAAAGUAUUUUAAAAAUA